rfam:Shewanella benthica KT99 1099576005601, whole genome shotgun sequence.
GGGCACUCUGGAAGCCGCAAUCCAUGGGCGGUAGCGUG